rnacentral:rRNA from 1 species
AUUGAACGCUGGCGGCAGGCCUAACACAUGCAAGUCGAGCGGCAGCACAGAGGAACUUGUUCCUUGGGUGGCGAGCGGCGGACGGGUGAGUAAUGCCUGGGAAAUUGCCCGGUAGAGGGGGAUAACCAUUGGAAACGAUGGCUAAUACCGCAUAACCUCGUAAGAGCAAAGCAGGGGACCUUCGGGCCUUGUGCUACCGGAUAUGCCCAGGUGGGAUUAGCUAGUUGGUGAGGUAAGGGCUCACCAAGGCGACGAUCCCUAGCUGGUCUGAGAGGAUGAUCAGCCACACUGGAACUGAGACACGGUCCAGACUCCUACGGGAGGCAGCAGUGGGGAAUAUUGCACAAUGGGCGCAAGCCUGAUGCAGCCAUGCCGCGUGUAUGAAGAAGGCCUUCGGGUUGUAAARUACUUUCAGUAGGGAGGAAGAUGGUUAAGUUAAUACCUUAAKCAUUUGWCGUUAMCUACAGAAGRAGC